AGUGAACGCUGGCGGUAGGCCUAACACAUGCAAGUCGAACGGCAGCACAGUAAGAGCUUGCUCUUACGGGUGGCGAGUGGCGGACGGGUGAGGAAUACAUCGGAAUCUACUUUUUCGUGGGGGAUAACGUAGGGAAACUUACUCUAAUACCGCAUACGACCUACGGGUGAAAGCAGUGGAUCUUCGGACCUUGCGCGAUUGAAUGAGCCGAUGUCGGAUUAGCUAGUUGGCGGGGUAAAGGCCCACCAAGGCGACGAUCCGUAGCUCGUCUGAGAGGAUGGUCAGCCACCCUGGAACUGAGACACGGCCCAGACUCCUACGGGAGGCAGCAGUGGGGAAUAUUGGACAAUGGGCGCAAGCCUGAUCCAGCCAUACCGCGUGGGUGAAGAAGGCCUUCGGGUUGUAAAGCCCUUUUGUUGGGAAAGAAAAGCAGCAGGUUAAUACCCCGCUGUUCUGACGGUACCCAAAGAAUAAGCACCGGCUAACUUCGUG
rnacentral:rRNA from 1 species